GGCGGCGUCAAAGGUGAAGCAGGACAUGCCCCCGCCGGGGGGCUAUGGGCCCAUCGACUACAAACGGAACUUGCCGCGUCGAGGACUGUCGGGCUACAGCAUGCUGGCCCUAGGGAUUGGAACCCUGAUCUAUGGGCACUGGAGCAUGAUGAAGUGGAACCGUGAGCGCAGGCGCCUACAAAUCGAGGACUUCGAGGCCCGCAUCGCGCUGUUGCCACUGUUACAGGCAGAAACCGACCGGAGGUAGCACUGCAGGGCCUGACCUGCAUCCCCGAAGGUGGCCAGAAUGCACAUGGGGGCUAUCGCCAUGUGCCAUCAGCUGCAUCCUCAGAGAGGCGUGGAGACUUAGUGGAGACCCAAGGGGGUGAAUCGGAAGGCUUCCUGGAGGAGGAGGCAGCACUGGGGUUGGGGCAAGAGAAAAGCUAGGAGUUGGCUGGGGGAAAGGGAGACAGGGUCGGAGGGAGGCUUGAAGGGGUGCUACCAGGGGCCCUAGGCAGGGAUUCCUCAGGGCACUGAGGCCCCACCCCCACCAUCGGCCCCAUCCGCACAGGA
rnacentral:sRNA from 1 species